rnacentral:rRNA from 1 species
UUGCAGGGUAUAGACCCGAAACCCGGUGAUCUAGCCAUGGGCAGGUUGAAGGUUGGGUAACACUAACUGGAGGACCGAACCGACUAAUGUUGAAAAAUUAGCGGAUGACCUGUGGCUGGGGGUGAAAGGCCAAUCAAACCGGGAGAUAGCUGGUUCUCCCCGAAAGCUAUUUAGGUAGCGCCUCGUGAAUUCAUCUCCGGGGGUAGAGCACUGUUUCGGCUAGGGGGCCAUCCCGGCUUACCAACCCGAUGCAAACUGCGAAUACCGGAGAAUGUUAUCACGGGAGACACACGGCGGGUGCUAACGUCCGUCGUGAAGAGGGAAACAACCCAGACCGCCAGCUAAGGUCCCAAAGUCAUGGUUAAGUGGGAAACGAUGUGGGAAGGCCCAGACAGCCAGGAUGUUGGCUUAGAAGCAGCCAUCAUUUAAAGAAAGCGUAAUAGCUCACUGGUCGAGUCGGCCUGCGCGGAAGAUGUAACGGGGCUAAACCAUGCACCGAAGCUGCGGCAGCGACACUGUGUGUUGUUGGGUAGGGGAGCGUUCUGUAAGCCUGCGAAGGUGGCCUGUGAGGGUUGCUGGAGGUAUCAGAAGUGCGAAUGCUGACAUAAGUAACGAUAAAGCGGGUGAAAAGCCCGCUCGCCGGAAGACCAAGGGUUCCUGUCCAACGUUAAUCGGGGCAGGGUGAGUCGACCCCUAAGGCGAGGCCGAAAGGCGUAGUCGAUGGGAAACGGGUUAAUAUUCCCGUACUUGGUGUUACUGCGAAGGGGGGACGGAGAAGGCUAUGUUGGCCGGGCGACGGUU